rnacentral:rRNA from 1 species
CCUACGGGGGGCAGCAGUGGGGAAUAUUGCACAAUGGGGGAAACCCUGAUGCAGCGACGCCGCGUGAGUGAAGAAGUAAUUCGUUACGUAAAGCUCUAUCAGCAGGGAAGAAAUACUGACCUUACGGUCAGCAGACGGUACCUGAGUAAGAAGCCCCGGCUAACUACGUGCCAGCAGCCGCGGUAAUACGUAGGGGGCAAGCGUUAUCCGGAUUUACUGGGUGUAAAGGGAGCGUAGACGGCAUUGCAAGUCUGAUGUGAAAGAUUGGGGCUCAACCCCAGGCCUGCAUUGGAAACUGUAAAGCU